rnacentral:rRNA from 1 species
GAGCGGAGGUACCUGAAGACGGUGACUUUACUGGGAGCUGUCUAAGGUAAAACUGGUGACUGGGGCU